UGGGGAAUAUUGCACAAUGGGCGCAAGCCUGAUGCAGCCAUGCCGCGUGUAUGAAGAAGGCCUUCGGGUUGUAAAGUACUUUCAGCGGGGAGGAAGGGAGUAAAGUUAAUACCUUUGCUCAUUGACGUUACCCGCAGAAGAAGCACCGGCUAACUCCGUGCCAGCAGCCGCGGUAAUACGGAGGGUGCAAGCGUUAAUCGGAAUUACUGGGCGUAAAGCGCACGCAGGCGGUUUGUUAAGUCAGAUGUGAAAUCCCCGGGCUCAACCUGGGAACUGCAUCUGAUACUGGCGAGCUUGAGUCUCGUAGAGGGGGGUAGAAUUCCAGGUGUAGCGGUGAAAUGCGUAGAGAUCGGGAGGAAUACCGGUGGCGAAGGCGGCCCCCUGGACGAAGACUGACGCUCAGGUGCGAAAGCGUGGGGAGCAAACAGG
rnacentral:rRNA from 1 species